rnacentral:rRNA from 1 species
CCAAUAGCGUAUAUUAAAGUUGUUGCAGUUAAAAAGCUCGUAGUUGAAUUUCGGGAUCAAUAUAUCGGUCGUGCCUUGGUACGUACUGGUAUCAUUGGUUUCUCCUUUCUGACGAACCAUGAUGUCAUUAAUUUGGUGUUAUGGGAAGUUAGGACUGUUACUUUGAAAAAAUUAGAGUGUUUAAAGCAGGCUUUAGCUUGAAUACAUUAGCAUGGAAUAAUGAAAUAGGACGUUCGAACCUAUUUUGUUGGUUUCUAGGAUCAACGUAAUGAUUAAUAGGGGUAGUUGGGGGCAUUAGUAUUAAAUUGUCAGAGGUGGAAUUCUUGUAUUUAUUAAAGACUAACUACUGCGAAAGCAUUUGCCCAGGAUGUUUUCAUUAAUCAAGAACGAAAGUUAGGGGAUCGAAGACGAUCAGAUACCGUCGUAGUCUUAACCAUAAACUACGCCGACUAGGGAUCGGAUGAUGUUAAUUUUUUAAUGACUCAUUCGGCGCCUUACG